UGCAAAUUGCCGACGCAGCGCAGGCAGCAAAGGCAGACAAUAAAUAACUACGAGAGCGACGGCUGUGACGUUAAGUAGCUUAGUGCAAAUGGACAAGCAUAAAUUCGUCUUAUUGCCCAGACCCAGACCCCGGCGCUGGCACAAGUCGUGCCAAAAAAAAAAAAAAAAACUAUCCACAGCAAUACAGCAACAACAAAAGAGUGUAAGGUGGGUUGCGGUAGCCGAAGCUUCAGAUACCCUGCAUCUAGAUUUGCACACCGAAAAUCGUGACACAACAUUCAUACGAUUGGCGGAGAUAUAAGUUCAUAAGUUUGUAGAAGUUCAGAGUUCGAAGGGUACUUUACCAUUCCAGGGUACGGGUGUUGCCGUGCAAAAAUGUACAUACAUACAUAACAUUAUUGUUAUUAUUGUUGUUCAUUAACGUCAACACUGCCACGCUCAAGUCGUUUGUAUGCAUGUGGCUUUGUAUAUGUACUGGCCGUUUUGGUUUGGUCAAAAUAUUUUUGGUAUAAUGAAAUGAAAUGAACGAAAAGUGGAAGUGGAAGCAGAAGAGAAAAAAUUUCGCCGGCUGCCUACGAUAUGCGAAUACUCUUCAAUAAUCAUAAUUGUAAUUCUGAUUAGAGGUUAUUUGCAUUAUUUAAUUUGUAUACCUGAAACGUAAUUAAUAAAGAUCAAAUGUGGUCACACUAAAUAAA